AUUUGAACUGUUUUGUCUAGUAUUUUCAUUUAGUUGAUUAUGAAUCUUUGUGUUUUUAUAAUUAUCACUUUUUUCAAUUAAUCAUGAUCCUGACAGAUUUAUCGAGUAUACUGUUAACUCUUAAUCUAUAUCUAAACUGUGAUGAUAUGGUUCCUGACUUUCUCUGGCCAACUUUCCAAACCCAUCGUCCUUAAAAUGAAAGUCAAAAUAGAUGUUUACAAGUGAAGCUCAAUUCUUCGGAUUUAUGUUAUCUUUUAUGCAGAGACGGCGAUCGGAGAAAAUGCUUGGAUAAAGUGUAAUAUUUAAGUCUGCUUACCAUGUAGACACAGUCAAUUUGUGAGAACAGUUAAAGGAUUUUUCAACAAAAGACUGGUAAUUGUGGCAAUUUCAAGGUAUGGCUGGUAUGAGCAUGGAUAUUAUUCAGUUUUGUUGGACCUUUGGGACCCAUAAUGAAUAGAUAAGAAGCGUUUAAAAAUUGUGUGAAGGAUCACAAAAGAUGACAAGUUCAAGCGAAACACAAAGAUUAAAAGAGUUUACCGUUGAUCGACGAUAAUUUAAAAAAUAUCACCGAAUCAACCUAAUCCCAGAAUCUAUCAAUCAAAAUCAACAAUUGGAUGAAUUAAAGAAUGAGAAUAUUCAAAUUUACAUUUCGAUUGAUAGUCUUAUGUAUGUAAGUUUUAAUCAAAAGUCAACUUGGAUUGGAUCAUUUUUGGCCACUCAUUAUAUCAUCUGUUAUGUGUUGACAAUGCCAAGCAAAUGUAUUUCAAAGUCAUCAUUUAUUUGCCUCAAUGAUUUCAAAUGUACAUGUUAUUAUUCAACUCCGAAUAUUUUUGUGGUAUCAUUUGAUAUUCAGUCUAGAUAAAAGUGGUAAAUAAUGAAAAAAAAGGAUAAAAGCUUUAUUCAAGUGAAUGUUGAGUAUUCCUUUUUUUUGCAACUAUUCAUUCAGAUUUAAUCAUUUGUUUCAGUUGAGUUGAUUUUUAAGAGUCAUUUGACCAAGGAAAAAGCCAAACAUUUACGAGUUGAAGUUAAUACAAUUUAACUGCCAGUUAAUAAGUUGGUGAAUGGAAGCAAUAAUAACAUUGAGGCUUGAAAAGGAAUGAAAUAUAAUGUAAACAUAUCAUUUUGUUGAACAGAUACACAAAAAGCAACUUGAGUUAACUCACAAACCAAUGGUCAUUACAUACUUGGGUCAAUCAAUUUUUUCCUCUAAAUCUCUAGCAACUUCAUACAUGGUAUUCAUUUAUUCAUUCACACACUCAUUCAUACUCUUGAUUCCAUUCAUUCAAUGCUCACCUUUUAUCUUCAUGAGUUUCAACCUUCCCUCCACCAAACCAUAAUUAUCAUUUUGUAUCCAUUUAAUUUCAAUCCAUAUUAUUUACACUUCUGUUACUUA